ensembl:lncRNA
GUACGUAGCAUGAGCCAGGCUGCUGUGCUUGGAUGGAAGCAGCACUCAUCUCAUCUGUUACAUUGCACUAAAGGACAAGCAAAAAACCGAAGGAGAGGGAGGUUACUGGAAGUGUGGGACACAGAAUUACGGAACCUCAGGUGUUGGAAAGGACCUCUGGAGAUCACCCAGUCUAACCCCCUGCUUCAGCAGGUUCCCUACAGCAGAUCACACAGCUAGGCAUCCAGGACAAAAUUAUCUAAAACAGUGUGUCCUUGAGGACAGAACUGCUGAGGGCUCUCUAUGGAAAUCUAUGAACAAAGUGAACACUGAUUUUGGAGGAAGAGAGGCAAAAAGCAAGAAAAGACCAUGGAUUAGAGAAGUAAAGAUUGAAAGGGCAAGGAGGAAAUGAAAGGCCUCAGCUCAAUUCUGUAGUGAAUCAACAACCUUUCUCAAAGAGGAAAAAAGAAAACUAGCAUGUAUGGCUAGAAAGUGGCUAGAUGGUGUCACAGAACUCAAGAAUGAGAAAGGGCUUUUCCAGAAAGCAUUGAAAGAUCACAAGAGCAAAGUGUGCAGUCCAGAUGAACUUGGCAAGCACUCUCAUGAGGCUACAGAGACUGGAACAAGUGCAAAUAUUAAUGUAGUUCACAUGCCCUUAAAGGAUGUACAAUCAGAAGUUCAUCUACAGCUGAAAAUCAGCACUCAGACCUGAAGCAGUGAAGUCAACAUCUGCAACAAGCUCC